AAAUUGAAGAGUUUGAUCAUGGCUCAGAUUGAACGCUGGCGGCAGGCCUAACACAUGCAAGUCGAGCGGUAGCACAGAGAGCUUGCUCUCGGGUGACGAGCGGCGGACGGGUGAGUAAUGUCUGGGAAACUGCCUGAUGGAGGGGGAUAACUACUGGAAACGGUAGCUAAUACCGCAUAAUGUCGCAAGACCAAAGUGGGGGACCUUCGGGCCUCAUGCCAUCAGAUGUGCCCAGAUGGGAUUAGCUAGUAGGUGGGGUAAUGGCUCACCUAGGCGACGAUCCCUAGCUGGUCUGAGAGGAUGACCAGCCACACUGGAACUGAGACACGGUCCAGACUCCUACGGGAGGCAGCAGUGGGGAAUAUUGCACAAUGGGCGCAAGCCUGAUGCAGCCAUGCCGCGUGUGUGAAGAAGGCCUUCGGGUUGUAAAGCACUUUCAGCGGGGAGGAAGGCGGUGAGGUUAAUAACCUCANCGAUUGACGUUACCCGCAGAAGAAGCACCGGCUAACUCCGUGCCAGCAGCCGCGGUAAUACGGAGGGUGCAAGCGUUAAUCGGAAUUACUGGGCGUAAAGCGCACGCAGGCGGUCUGUCAAGUCGGAUGUGAAAUCCCCGGGCUNAACCUGGGAACUGCAUUCGAAACUGGCAGGCUAGAGUCUUGUAGAGGGGGGUAGAAUUCCAGGUGUAG
rnacentral:rRNA from 1 species